rnacentral:rRNA from 14 species
GGCGAAAAGAACCCCUGUGAGGGGAGUGAAAUAGAUCCUGAAACCGUGUGCAUACAAGCAGUCGGAGCAUCAUUUAUGAUGUGACGGCGUACCUUUUGUAUAAUGGGUCAGCGACUUAUAUUCUGUAGCAAGGUUAACCGAAUAGGGGAGCCGUAGGGAAACCGAGUCUUAAUAGGGCGUCUAGUUGCAGGGUAUAGACCCGAAACCGAGUGAUCUAUCCAUGAGCAGGUUGAAAGUGACGUAACAGUUACCGGAGGACCGAACCCACUGUCUUUGAAAAGCCAGGGGAUGACUUGUGGAUAGGGGUGAAAGGCUAAUCAAACUCGGUGAUAGCUGGUUCUCCCCGAAAGCUAUUUAGGUAGCGCCUCGGACGAACACCAUUGGGGGUAGAGCACUGUUUCGGCUAGGGGGUCAUCCCGACUUACCAAACCGAUGCAAACUCCGAAUACCGAUGAGUGAUAUCCGGGAGACAGACGGCGGGUGCUAACGUCCGUCGUCAAGAGGGAAACAACCCAGACCGCCAGCUAAGGCCCC